rnacentral:tRNA from 1 species
GCCACCGUAGCUCAGCUGGCAGAGCAACCGCCUUGUAAGCGGUAGGUCAUGGGUUCGAAUCCCAUUGGUGGCU